CUACCUAGCUCAUAUUGCAGAAAGCCAAUUCCCGCGACACAAAGCCGCCUAGUGUCAUCAGUCACAAAGGGUUCGAUUGGUUGGAAAACAAAAAAAGACGCCGUAGCCUUCCGCCGACACAUCAUCCUGUGCUUUGCUCCUGCGCCAAACUCCACUGAAGCCAUUUCGGUUCGCCGCUCCACCAGUGAACGCUCCACGGCUACGAUGUGAAGGUGUGUGGUGCACAGUGCGUGGAAGUGGGGAAUGCUAACAGGGGCUGCCUGGCCCGCCUGGUGAGGCUGGCCGGCGACCCCGCCAGACCCACGGCAACCCGCAGCGGCGAGCUCUCGGCUUGGAGCACACCAGGCCUAACCCCAGGUUACGGCGCCGCCCGCGCGAUGGAUCGCCGGCUCGAAAAGUGAUUCAACGGGUGGAGAGUAGGAACCCAGCUGUUCCAUGUGCUGCUUGAACUGCCACAGCUGCUGUCGGUGCCCCGAGGGCCUGACAUGUAUGCUGGUAUUGGCCAUCUUUGCAUCCGUCCUUGGCAUGUUCCAGUUUGGCUACAAUCUAGGUGUAAUCAAUUCGCCACGAAAAAUAUUAGAAGACUUUAUUUCAUCAGUUUAUCAAGAAAGAACAGGAUAUCAGAUAUCCAAGAACUUCAAGGACUGGUUGUGGGCAAUCACUGUUUCAAUAUUCGCCAUUGGUGGGAUGGUAGGAGGUAUUUCAGGGAGCAUGAUCGCAAACCGUUUUGGAAGGAAAGGUGGUCUGCUCAUCAAUAACAUCCUCGGCAUUCUGGGGGGCUCACUCAUGGGCUUCAGUAAUGCCUCCAGAAGCAUAGAGCUGCUCAUUUUUGGUCGCCUUAUCAUUGGUAUCAAUUGUGGUCUCAACACUGCUCUAGUGCCAAUGUACCUGCUCGAAAUUUCUCCCGUGCCACUACGAGGAGGGCUAGGUACUGUGAGUCAAGUUGGGGUUACUGUGGGAAUGUUACUGUCCCAAAUUUUAGGCAUUCAAGUAAUUCUGGGAACAGCGGAAGGCUGGCCAUACCUAUUAGCGAUAGCAGUUAUCCCAGCUAUCCUGCAACUGGUAUUAUUGCCCCUCUGUCCUGAGAGUCCAAGGUAUUUGCUCAUUUCAAAGCAGCAAGAAUCUUUAGCGAGAGGAGCAUUACAGAAGCUCCGUUGCUCAAGCUUGGUAGAAGACGACAUCGAAGAAAUGAAGACUGAGGAACAGGCUCAACAACAAGAGUCUAAGAUCACCAUGAUGCAGGUUAUGUCGAACAAAUCAUUACAGCUUCCGCUCUUAAUUGGAGUCAUGAUGCAUCUCUCUCAGCAGCUUUCUGGCAUAAAUGCUGUUUUCUAUUACUCUGUGAGACUAUUUGAAGCAGCAGGUCUUUCAGAGAACAUGUCCAAGUAUGCCAACAUUGGAGUUGGUGUAGUCAUGGUUAUCAUGACUCUUGUCUCCAUACCACUCAUGGACAGGGCGGGAAGGCGUACUCUUCACCUCUAUGGUUUAGGGGGCAUGUUCAUCUUCAGUAUAUUCAUCACUAUUUCUUUGUUAGUCAAGUUCUUAUACCAAUGGAUCACCUACAUGAGUGUUGUCAGCACAUUGUGCUUUGUAGUAUUUUUUGCAAUUGGUCCAGGUACAAUCCCCUGGAUGUUGACAGCUGAGCUGUUUUCACAAGGCCCUCGACCAGCAGCCAUGAGUAUAGGUGUUCUUGUCAACUGGUCGGCUAACUUUUUUGUGAGCCUCAUCUUUCCUCCAAUGCAGGAGGAGCUUGGAAACUAUUCAUUUCUUCCAUUCACUGCCCUGUUGGGCCUCUUCUGGACUUUCACAUACAAGAAGGUGCCGGAGACAAAGAACAAAACAUUUGAAGAGAUUUCUGCCCUCUUCAGGAGGAAUGACCCUGUAAAUAUCAAUGGGCUUGCGGUACAGGCAAAUGCUUUGCCUCCUGGCCAAGAUGCAGUAUUUGAAGAAAAAGCAGAAACUUGCUACCUUCAUCAACAUCAUCAUCAUCAUCAUCACUGUCACUAUGGAAAGUACCACAAUCGAAAAAAACUAGAAGUGAACAGUCUAGAAGACCAGCUGUAAUUUAACAAAUUUAUCUCGUCAGGCACUCAUGCAUUUCUCCAAGUUCAUAGGGGGAAAAAAAAAACACGACAACAUGUUGCUGGCCAUAGCAUGCCCUUCCGUGGCAGAGCAAAUUCCAGGGCUCAGAAGAACCUAGAAUCACUCCAUUUCAGCAGCUAGGUCCACAAGCAGUUCAUUACACUGCAGUAGCAGCAGCAACAACAGAGGAACGGUAGCCUUGAAGCAGAUGACCAGGAAACGUGGCCGUUCAUAUCAUCUUUACCCCCUGUUGAAUCACCGUGGUCCACUGGAUAAAAGGGACCCCAACGGCACAGGAACAAGCUAUGCAUUCCCGAGGGCUCAGUAUUACAGACUCAGUUCCAUAGUGUGACAAAACGUGUGACUGCGCAGCAAGCCCCGCUUGUUCAGACGGUUUUCCUGCUGUGCCCGGAACAGCGCCUUUUCCUCGCUUUUUUUUUUUUCUCUCUCCUCCUUUCUCUGGGUUUGGUCCAGCCCAGUUCUCCAGCUUGUCCACCAAGACAAGAUUCAUGGCAGAUGGCACAAGAUGGCACAAGAUCAUGGCUAGGAUGUACGGAGGAACACAUUUAUAUAUUGUGCCUUGAGUUCAGUUCGUACACAGACACCUUCAUUUCACGAACAAAAAUGUGUCACAUGGACAAUGAGUCGUUUGCAGCUCCGUGCUACC